rnacentral:lncRNA from 1 species
AAGUGUAGAGAGAAGUGAAUAGCGUUUCCUUUCAUCUUUCACAGUAACUCUCUCUUGCUCUGUUCCUUACCACCGCUUCACCUUCUUUAGUCUGGUUCCCUUGCUCUCUCCACUGUCAUCUAAUGCUCCGCAUACGAAGGGACUCCCUCCUCCAGGUAAAAGGACUCACCCCCUCUCAGUUUUUCUUUCUCAAUCACGUGGGCUAACUCAUUGGACGAUCUUGGUAUAUGGUUGAAAAAGAUCUAUUGAAAUUUGUCUCUCAACUGAUAUAUUUUUUUAUAUAAGCAUCGAUUACUGAUGUAUCCAGAUGUAUUGACUGACUUUUCUUAACUGUUGACAAUGAAUCGCCCUCGAUUAUUACUCGCACCCAACCUCAUUUUAUACCAGUUUGCACUGCUCGAUGACAAAACCCCUUUAUGGGUCUCCGCUCGUGAAAGUACCACUUCCCCUUAAACAUUCCUUGCCAUAAUACCUGAAGCCGAUCGUAAUAUUUAUCCGUCAAAAGCGCCAUCAAAGUUGAUUUUAAUGGUUGAACCCAUGGUACCCACCAGCACACCAAUCCAGUUUCUUUUGUAAGUGUCCUCUUUUCUGUCUCAGUAAUCUCUGCAGUGUAACCUCUAAUGAAAUGUGCUAUAAUAUCCCUCUCUGUAGCAAACUUUCUCUCAUGGACCCUUAUGUUCCUAUCUCGCCAGAUAGCCCAGAGUGCGUAGCAGAAAAGCCGUCGCUAAGUGAUAGAACAUGCAUCAAAUACCCCAGUAAGCCAAUGUCCAAAUCCCCAAUCUUGAUUACUUAAGAAAUGCGAUAAUUUAAGAUCUGGCCAUACUUCAAUUGUUCAAGGCAUACUCGAAACAAAUGAUCCAUUGUUUCCUCCUCCCUUCCGCACCGAGGACAACAUGAUGUAUUCACAAGUUUAUUAUAUUUCAUGUUAGCUAAAGUAAUUCCAAUAAAUUUUUCAGAUUGUAAUUUCCUAGGGAGGUUUAGGCUCCAUAGCUUUUUUGUAGAAAUCACUAGAAAUUAUUUGUAAAGUGUAAGCACUAGAAACUCCCAAAAUCUUCUGUAAUAGUUUAUAAGCACAUCAGACAGAAAACUCCCAUGAAGACUCACCUCCCCACACCAACCAAUCAUCAUGGGCCUCUUUUGCAAAUGGAAUAUGAAGGAUUUGAGUUGCAUCUAAUGCCGAGAAGGUGAUGGGUUUCGGAACCAUAAAAAAUAAUUCUUACAGUAAAAUAACUCUAAAUAGUAGUAAAAAGUGGUAGUAGGGGCGAGUCCAUAGGGAUUGGAUAUUAUAAUCAACUUUCG